rnacentral:piRNA from 1 species
UUCCACUGGUGGCUACUAACAGUUUAUGCCC